AUGCCUCCCUACAAAACAACACUCAAAAGUUUCUCUAUAAAGAAUCCCUUGCAAGACCAGAGCAGAAUUAUUGUGUUUCAUAUGCCUUUUGUUUUUCCUAGUUUCCAAACAGUGUGGCAUCACCUUAAUAACUUUUUGGUCUGAAAAUCUGGGACUCCCCCUCUCUCAUAGUUGGACAAAAAAAAAUAACAAAAAUAAUUUGCAGCAAGCAGCAUAGUGCUGAGCAAAAGCUAAGGCUUCUCUCUAUCAUAUGAUCCAGAGAACACUGCAGGUUUUAUUUUUUGGAUACUACAAUUAUGAACUUACCAUCACCAUCAUAAAUAUGGCCAAUCAUUUGACAUAUUUCUCUAUUGAACUUUCAACAAUUGAUGGAAAGCCUCCUGUGGUAUAUCAACAGAACCAAUACGCUUCAUUCGCUUCUUGCCUUCCUUCUGUUUUUCCAAAAGCUUCCUUUUCCGAGUAACAUCCCCACCAUAACACUUUGCAAGAACAUUCUUUCUCAUAGCCGAAAUCGUUUCCCUUGCAAUAACCUUUGAUCCAAUUGCAGCUUGUAUCGUUAUCUCAAACAUUUGCCUAUCAAUGAACUUCUUCAGCUUCUCUACCAGCUCACGACCAACACGUUGUGCCUUCAACUUAUGAACAAUGGUUGCCAUAGCAUCAACUGGUAGUCCAUUUAGGAGGAUAUCAAGUUUUACCAAAUCAGCUUCUUGAUAAUCUGAAUCCUCAUAGUCAAAUGAUGCAUA
rnacentral:misc_RNA from 1 species